rnacentral:sRNA from 1 species
GUAACAAGGAGGGAGCGCAUUCUUCCACCUUCUGGGUGCUGCUGAGUAUCUUUCUGGGAGCAGUGGCCAUGCUGUGCAAAGAGCAAGGGAUCACCGUGCUGGGUUUAAAUGCGGUAUUUGACAUCUUGGUGAUAGGCAGAUUCAAUGUUCUGGAAAUUGUCCAGAAGGUACUACAUAAGGACAAGUCAUUAGAGAAUCUCGGCAUGCUCAGGAACGGGGGCCUCCUCUUCAGAAUGACCCUGCUCACGUCUGGAGGGGCUGGGAUGCUCUACGUGCGCUGGAGGAUCAUGGGCACGGGCCCGCCGGCCUUCACCGAGGUGGACAACCCGGCCUCCUUUGCUGACAGCAUGCUGGUGAGGGCCAUAAACUACAAUUACUACUAUUCAUUGAAUGCCUGGCUGCUGCUGUGUCCCUGGUGGCUGUGUUUUGAUUGGUCAAUGGGCUGCAUCCCCCUCAUUAAGUCCAUCAGCGACUGGAGGGUAAUUGCACUUGCAGCACUCUGGUUCUGCCUAAUUGGCCUAAUAUGCCAAGCCCUGUGCUCUGAAGACGGCCACAAGAGAAGGAUCCUUACUCUGGGCCUGGGAUUUCUCGUUAUCCCAUUUCUGCCCGCGAGUAACCUGUUCUUCCGAGUGGGCUUCGUGGUCGCGGAGCGUGUCCUCUACCUCCCCAGUGUUGGGUACUGUGUGCUGCUGACUUUUGGAUUCGGAGCCCUGAGCAAACAUACCAAGAAAAAGAAACUCAUUGCCGCUGUCGUGCUGGGAAUCUUAUUCAUCAACACGCUGAGAUGUGUGCUGCGCAGCGGCGAGUGGCGGAGUGAGGAACAGCUUUUCAGAAGUGCUCUGUCUGUGUGUCCCCUCAAUGCUAAGGUUCACUACAACAUUGGCAAAAACCUGGCUGAUAAAGGCAACCAGACAGCUGCCAUCAGAUACUACCGGGAAGCUGUAAGAUUAAAUCCCAAGUAUGUUCAUGCCAUGAAUAAUCUUGGAAAUAUCUUAAAAGAAAGGAAUGAGCUACAGGAAGCUGAGGAGCUGCUGUCUUUGGCUGUUCAAAUACAGCCAGACUUUGCCGCUGCGUGGAUGAAUCUAGGCAUAGUGCAGAAUAGCCUGAAACGGUUUGAAGCGGCAGAGCAAAGUUACCGGACAGCAAUUAAACACAGAAGGAAAUACCCAGACUGUUACUACAACCUCGGGCGUCUGGUAAGCUCGGGAUGCCCUGUGCCUGUGGAAGGAAGGAUGGGUUAUUUUUCUUAUUUAUAAUAAAAUGACAUAGUGACACCCA